rnacentral:rRNA from 1 species
AGAUUGAACGCUGGCGGCAUGCCUUACACAUGCAAGUCGAACGGCAGCGCGGGGCAACCUGGCGGCGAGUGGCGAACGGGUGAGUAAUAUAUCGGAACGUACCCUGGAGUGGGGGAUAACGUAGCGAAAGUUACGCUAAUACCGCAUACGAUCUAAGGAUGAAAGUGGGGGAUUCGCAAGAACCUCAUGCUCCUGGAGCGGCCGAUAUCUGAUUAGCUAGUUGGUGGGGUAAAGCCUACCAAGGCAUCGAUCAGUAGCUGGUCUGAGAGGACGACCAGCCACACUGGAACUGAGACACGGUCCAGACUCCUACGGGAGGCAGCAGUGGGGAAUUUUGGACAAUGGGACGAAAGCCUAGAUCCAGCAAUGCCGCGUGAGUGAAGAGGCCUUGGUUGUAAGCUCUUUGUCAGGAAGAAGGUGAGGCUAAUAUCCUUGACUAUGACGUACUAGAAGAAUAAGCACGACUAACUACGUG